ensembl:lncRNA
AUGACCGAGCCUGUCGAUUAUAAACUAAUAGAUGACAAAGGAAAAGUAAUCGGUAGCUGUUCAUACGUGCCAAUCCAUAAGGUCCUCAAAAACUACUGUUCAAACGAGGAGAUCAAGGAUCUUUUGUUUUCCAACCAUACACCAGAGGCUGAUUUUCUGUCUGACUAUUGUGACGGGAAUAUUUUCAAAGAGCACAAUUUUUUUAAGGAUCAUCCAUAUGCUCUGCGUUUGCACUUGUAUGAAGAUGAAUUUGAAGUGGUGAACCCUUUGGGUGCAAAAAGAAACAAACACAAACUGUGUGGCUUUUAUUAUACAAUUGGUAAUUUAGACAAAAAAUAUAGGUCACUUCAACGACAUAUUCAUUUGGCUCUGUUGGUUCGCUAUUCAUUUGUGAAAAAAUGUGGUUGGGACAUUAUUCUGAAACCUAUGCUCAAUGAUCUAAAACGACUAGCAAGUCAUGGAUUUACUAUUUCAGUUGAUCAAAAGGAAUACACCAUUUUUGCUGGUCUUGCAACUAUAUCUUGUGACAAUUUAUCUGCACAUAUGCUUGGAGGAUUCACAAUGUCAUUUAACUCUGGGAGAAUAUGCAGAUAUUGCAUGGCAACAUAUAGAGACAUCAAACAAAUGUUCAGAGAAGAGGACUUUAUAUUGAGAACUUCUGAUGUUCACAAACAGCAUCUUCUGAGAGUACAACAGUGUCCGGAUGACAAAGCAACCUAUGGUGUGUACCGGCCAUCUCCCUUUGAAGAACUUGAUUAUUUUGACACAACCACAGCAUUUCCACCAGAUGUGAUGCAUGAUUUAUUAGAAGGAGUAAUUCCAUUGGUUAUGAAAUUGGUUAUUGGCAAAGCUCACACAGAAAAACACAUAACAAUAAGGGAGAUUAAUGAAGAACUAAAAAGACUGUGUAUUGGUCAGAAUGACAAACAUAACAAGCCUGUUCAAUUGUCAGAAAGACUGCAUGCUGUUGGUAUUACAGGGUCUGCAUCACAGAAAUGGUGCCUAUUCAGAUUACUUCCAUUUGUGUUAGCAAAUCGUGUUCCUUUAAAUUGUAAAUAUUGGAGCAUUUUUUUGUUGUGUAAAGAAAUUACAGAGAUUGUCAUGGCACCUAAGGUGAACAAAGAGAAGCUUCUGUCACUUAAUGCAUUGGUUGAGGAGUUUUUGACCGAAAUGAAAAGUGUGUUUGGAGAUGUUAUUACACCAAAAUGUCAUUAUUUAAUCCAUUAUGCUAGACUUAUGGAAAUGUAUGGUCCUUUAUGUUUGUUAUGGUGCAUGCGAUUUGAAGGUAAACAUCAAUAUUUUAAGAAAAUAGCCUUCACUUCUCGAAACUUUAUAAAUAUUUCCAGCACUCUUUGCAAAAGACAUCAGUUCAGACAAUGUUGGGAGUUUUCAUCAGGCAAUAUGAUUGCAGAUUUUGAACAUGUUCCAGGGAAAAGCAUUGAAACACCAAUUGUUUCACUUCCUGCCGGACUUCAAAAAGCACUGACAGCUGAUAGUCAAUUUUGUCAGAGGGACUUUACGAAACCCGUGCAACGUGUUUCCCAAGUGACUGUGAACUGUGUUAAGUAUGCAGUACAUGAUGUCUUCAUUAUUGGUUUGUUGCAUUCUGAAAGGAUUCCACUGUUCCUAAAAAUCAAAUACAUAUUGAACAUUGAUACAGAGUGGAUUUUUUGUGGAAAAAUGUUAUUUCCUUUACGUUUUGAACACCAUUUCUUUGCCUACUCAGUCAGGAUGGAUGAUGAAUGGAUUUUAAUGAGACCAGGAGAUGAAGUAGAUCAUCAGGCAUACGAUGUGUAUUCUGUUGACAACAACAUGUUUCUGUCCAUUCGAUAUUGUAUUUGA